GUCUGCUUUCUGAAGGAGUUUCCAGUCUCAAUGGAAAGAGUCCAGAUCUCAUCACAGCCGGAUCCACAGACUCCUUCUGGAGCUUUGAUUCAUGUGCCGUGUUAUUUGGGUAACCUGCCCUUCAGAGUCUGGAGGAAGAUGCAGGACAUC